UUCUGGUUGAUCCUGCCGGAGGCUACCGCUAUUGGAGUUCGAUUAAGCCAUGCGAGUCGAGAGUCUUAGGGACUCGGCGUACCGCUCAGUAACACGUGGGUAACCUGCCCUAUGCUGGGGAAUAACCUCGGGAAACUGAGAAUAAUACCCCAUAGUUCACCACGCCUGGAACGGUGGGUGGAUGAAAGCUCCGGCGGCAUAGGAUGGGCCUGCGGCGUAUCAGGUUGUAGGGGGUGUAACGUACCCUCUAGCCAUCAACGCGUACGGGUGUUGGGAGACAUAGCCCGGAGAUGGAUUCUGAGACACGAAUCCAGACCCUACGGGGUGCAGCAGGCGCGAAAACUUGGCAAUGCGAGCAAUCGUGACCAGGGAACUCCAAGUGGCUGGGGUAAUACCCAGUUUUUUCUUGACUCUUCAAAGGUCUUGGAAUAAGGGGUGGGUAAGGACGGUGCCAGCCGCCGCGGUAAUACCGGCGCCUCAAGUGGUAGUCGCUUUUAUUGGGCCUAAAACGUCCGUAGCCGGUCUGGUGCAUUCGUGGGUAAAUCAACCCGCUCAACGGGUUGAAUUCUGCGAGCACGGCCAGACUUGGGACCGGGAGAGGUGUGGGGUACUCUCAG
rnacentral:rRNA from 1 species